ACAUUAUCGGAAGCCGUGUCUUCCAUAAUGG
rfam:Xenopus laevis strain J chromosome 5L, whole genome shotgun sequence.